CCCUACGGGGUGCAGCAGCACCUUCACCUGGGGGUAGUCCCGCGCGAGUCCUUCAAUAACUGGCGGGGAAUCGGUGUCCCCCACUACCUGGCUGAUCGAUUCAACGCUCAGGAGGGUCUCGAUGAUGUGGGCGUAAAGCGGUUUACCGCACAUCAGGCGGUAAUUCUUCCCGGGCACGCGCUUGGAAUCGUGGCGCAUGGGUAACAAGGCAACGAUCUUGUCGAGUUUCAUUGUGGGUCCUCCUUGAGCAUAAAAUCCCCGCCGUGCAGGAUGCCAUCGUGGAUGGUUUGCAGGGUAACUGAGUUCUCGGGCAGGAGCGCCUGCCAGGGGAAGUCUUUGAGGGUCACAUAGCCUGCCCAGACACCAUCCGGCUUGAGGAAGUCUGCAAAGCUGAGCGAAGAUCUGUAAAGCGGCCAGUAAAUGAAUUGGCGGGAGAGC
rnacentral:rRNA from 1 species